rnacentral:lncRNA from 1 species
UUUAUUUUUUUUUUCUCCCUCUGCCGCUGUAUCCCCUUCCCCCCCCAUCCCCCUCUCCAUUUCCUCAGCCUGCACUUGCGCAGCCGUGGCCUCAGAUGCGGAGCUUUUUCUGAGGUUGGACAGCAGGCCAGGCCCGACUGCUUCCCAGGAAUCGGAGGGAAGGGAGCUGCUCAACUGACCGGAGGAGAGUGGACGCAUUAGGCAGCCAUAAGCUCUGUCACCAUUCCCAAUAAAUCCCAGCAGCCCGUUUACA